GGUUAAGCGACUAAGCGUACACGGUGGAUGCCCUGGCAGUCAGAGGCGAUGAAGGACGUGCUAAUCUGCGAUAAGCGUCGGUAAGGUGAUAUGAACCGUUAUAACCGGCGAUUUCCGAAUGGGGAAACCCAGUGUGUUUCGACACACUAUCAUUAACUGAAUCCAUAGGUUAAUGAGGCGAACCGGGGGAACUGAAACAUCUAAGUACCCCGAGGAAAAGAAAUCAACCGAGAUUCCCCCAGUAGCGGCGAGCGAACGGGGAGGAGCCCAGAGCCUGAAUCAGUGUGUGUGUUAGUGGAAGCGUCUGGAAAGGCGUGCGAUACAGGGUGACAGCCCCGUACACAAAAAUGCACAUGCUGUGAGCUCGAUGAGUAGGGCGGGACACGUGGUAUCCUGUCUGAAUAUGGGGGGACCAUCCUCCAAGGCUAAAUACUCCUGACUGACCGAUAGUGAACCAGUACCGUGAGGGAAAGGCGAAAAGAACCCCGGCGAGGGGAGUGAAAAAGAACCUGAAACCGUGUACGUACAAGCAGUGGGAGCACGCUUAGGCGUGUGACUGCGUACCUUUUGUAUAAUGGGUCAGCGACUUAUAUUCUGUAGCAAGGUUAACCGAAUAGGGGAGCCGAAGGGAAACCGAGUCUUAACUGGGCGUUAAGUUGCAGGGUAUAGACCCGAAACCCGGUGAUCUAGCCAUGGGCAGGUUGAAGGUUGGGUAACACUAACUGGAGGACCGAACCGACUAAUGUUGAAAAAUUAGCGGAUGACUUGUGGCUGGGGGUGAAAGGCCAAUCAAACCGGGAGAUAGCUGGUUCUCCCCGAAAGCUAUUUAGGUAGCGCCUCGUGAAUUCAUCUCCGGGGGUAGAGCACUGUUUCGGCAAGGGGGUCAUCCCGACUUACCAACCCGAUGCAAACUGCGAAUACCGGAGAAUGUUAUCACGGGAGACACACGGCGGGUGCUAACGUCCGUCGUGAAGAGGGAAACAACCCAGACCGCCAGCUAAGGUCCCAAAGUCAUGGUUAAGUGGGAAACGAUGUGGGAAGGCCCAGACAGCCAGGAUGUUGGCUUAGAAGCAGCCAUCAUUUAAAGA
rnacentral:rRNA from 1 species